rnacentral:rRNA from 1 species
UACAGAGGGUGCAAGCGUUAAUCGGAAUUACUGGGCGUAAAGCGAGCGUAGUCGGUUAUUUAAGUCGGGUGUGAAAGCCCCGGGCUCAACCUGGGAAUUGCAUUCGAUACUGGAUAGCUAGAGUUCGGCAGAGGGAAGCGGAAUUUCCGGUGUAGCGGUGAAAUGCGUAGAUAUCAGGAAGAACACCCGUGGCUAAGGCGGUUCUCUAGUACGGUACUGACGCCGAGACGCGAAAGCGUGGGGAGCGAACAGG